UAAUAAUGGUCAAAUCCCAGCAUCUGGACUGCAGUGCCCUCUAUCUCCUGCUAGACUACUUUAUUCUCUCCAUUGAAUUCUUUGUCCCCAGAGUUGUUCUUGGUUAGGGCCUGCUUCGUCCAGCGUUUAAUAUCAUAAGCCUUUUUGAAGGGCUUCUUUUCUUUGACUAGUCUUUUCUUUGUUAUAGCAAUGGCGAGAUCGUUUGGAAACAAUGUCUUCCAAAAUAAGGCAUGAAGAAGGGUAGACACAAAUAAUACAGAAACCAUUGUUGAUGACAUGAAUGAAAGACAGAGAGCAAGC
rnacentral:lncRNA from 1 species